AACGAACGCUGGCGGCAUGCCUAACACAUGCAAGUCGAACGAGACCUUCGGGCCUAGUGGUGCACGGGUGCGUAACGCGUGGGAACCUGCCUUUAGGUUCGGAAUAUCUCCCCGAAAGGGGUGCUAAUACCGGAUAUUGUCUUCCGACCAAAGAUUUAUUGCCUUUGGAUGGGCCCGGGUUGGCUUACCUAGUUGUUAGCCUAAAAGCGUACCAAGGCGACGUUCCAUAGCUGGUCAGGGAGGAAGGGCAGCGACACUGGGACUAGGACACGGCCCGGACUCCUACGCGAGGGAGCAGUGGGUAAUAUUGGACAAUGGGCGAAAGCCAGAACCAGCUCUGCCGCGUGAGUGAUGAAGGUCUUGGGGUAGGAAAGCACGUUUAUCCGGGAUGAUAAUGACGGUACCGAGAGAAUAAGCACCGGCUAACUCCGUG
rnacentral:rRNA from 1 species